rnacentral:rRNA from 1 species
GACGAAGGGGGCUAGCGUUGUUCGGAAUUACUGGGCGUAAAGCGCGUGUAGGCGGUUGCCCAAGUCGGGUGUGAAAGCCUUGAGCUCAACUCAAGAAAUGCACUCGGUACUGGGUGACUAGAGGACCGGAGAGGAUAGUGGAAUUCCCAGUGUAGUGGUGAAAUACGUAGAGAUUGGGAAGAACACCAGUGGCGAAGGCGACUUACUGGACUGUAACUGACGCUGAGGCAUGAAAGCGUGGGGAGCAAACAGG